GUUUGGCCGGUGCCGGCAUAAGAGCCGGGGAACUCCCGGUCGGCUCGGACGGAUCGUGUUCUCCAGUGCCGUGUCGUGCCGUGCCAUGCCUGCCUGCCGGCGGGAUGGAGGAGCUCUACAGCAAGACGGAGACCCUCGCCCUUCGGAGGAAGCACAUCGGUGACAGAUCUCCACUGCUCUGCCUUCUGAUGCUUGACCAGAGAGAGCUUCUAGCUGUUGCCGUGGGAACAAGGGCUCAGCACCUACUGCUGGUAGCUGAGUGAUGACCUGUGACAGCACCUGCUCCUUCGGAUUGCUGCAGCAGUGUGAAAAACUCCCGUUGGACCCUACCAUCCAGCUGAUGACGUUAAUAAAGAGCUGAAUAUUAAUAAAGGCAUAAGCCCUAUUCCUUUCAAUCAGACUUGAUUGGAGGUGAAUGUUGUGCUGGAUUUCUACAACUUGAGUUCAGGGUAAGGCAAUGGGUAUUUUGCAAGGAAAGUAACGAUUCUCAGGGAAAAUGUUUGAAGGACACAAACUUAUAAAUUACCAGGUGAUGUGGGAGCAAAUUGCUGAGAGGCUUAAGGUGUCAACAAAAACGUGUGUUCUCUCAUUGCAGUUAUGAUCACUUGAAGCAGUUGGUUUGUUCAUGCACAUGCACAUGCAUGUGUUAUGUGAAAAAUGUAAAGUCAGCUCAGAAAAACAUUACAUUGAGAAUGGCUGGACUGCAAACAAAGGAACUGCAUGCAGGGUUGGUAGGAAAGAGAAAUACUGUACCAAUUGGCAAGGGGCAUCCAGCCCAUCCAGGCCAGGCUGGCCUGGCUCCCCUUUUUCCCCCUUAAUUCCACGGAAUCCCUGUUUGUAAAGAUUAACUUGCAAUGUUACUAUCAAGGAAAUGCCUUCAGUAUUGACUUAAAUGGAGUGAACAAAAAAAACCAGAGAGGCAAGAGGAACAAGCUGACUGCUUAUGAUUUAAACCUGUGGGGCACUGAUUCUGGCACAUUCCAAAUUUGGUUCCUUUCCAAUGUAUUUUGCAGAAAAAAUGAAAAAAAAAAAAAAAAACCCAAAAAACAACCCACCAUCAAAA